AUUGAACGCUGGCGGCAGGCCUCACACAUGCAAGUCGAACGAGUGGCGGAAGGGUGAGUAAUGUCUGGGAAACUGCCCGAUGGAGGGGGAUAACUAAUGGAACAGGUAGCUAAUACCGCAUACCAUCGGAUGUGCCCAGAUGGGAUGAGGUAUUAGGUGGGGUAAUGGCUCACCUAGGCGACGAUCACGAGAUGGUCUGAGAGGAUGACCAGCCACACUGGAACUGAGACACGGUCCAGACUCCUACGGUAGGCAGCAGUGGGGAAUAGUGCCCAAUGGGCGCAAGCCUGAUGCAGCCAUGCCGCGUGUAUGAAGAAGGCCUUCGGGUUUUAAAGUACUUUCAGCGAGGAGGCGUUACUCGCAGAAGAAGCACCGGCUAACUCCGUGCCAGCAGCCGCGGUAAUAC
rnacentral:rRNA from 1 species